UACGGAGGGUGCAAGCGUUAUCCGGAUUCACUGGGCUUAAAGGGUGCGUAGGUGGGCAGGUAAGUCAGGGGUGAAAUCUCCGGGCUUAACCCGGAAACUGCCAUUGAUACUAUCUGUCUUGAAUACCGUGGAGGUGAGCGGAAUAUGUCAUGUAGCGGUGAAAUGCUUAGAUAUGACAUAGAACACCAAUUGCGAAGGCAGCUCACUACACGAAUAUUGACACUGAGGCACGAAAGCGUGGGGAUCAAACAGG
rnacentral:rRNA from 1 species